GAAUGGCAGAUUAAAUCUGGAUGGACUAUAAUCUGAUGUGCAUUGUGCACUUCUGUAUAGUCUGACAGCAGCUCUGAUCGGUCCAUGCUUUGUAAGGAGAAUGAACACUUAAACCAUGAUGUCCUGUUUGGAGCAAGUGUCAUGAUUUUCAGCAGGGUAUCUAGCAGACUUUACAAUUGCGACUCUGCAGAAGAGUUCGGGGCAAUUUCACAUGUUCUCACAGGGAGAACACGGGAUUGGGAUGUAAUGAAAUAAUUUAGAGUAAUGGUAACGAGAUUUUACCUUGCCCCGUUGUUUUGCCUGCAAAUCAUAGAUAUAGAGUUCACUGUUGUUUUGUCCUGUAAAGAAAUUUGACCAUAAAGUGUGAUUUUUUUUUGCCACCAUUUAAUACCAUGUUUUUCGUUUGGUAAGGUAAACUCCACUGAGCUUGAGCUCUACGUACAUGAUACUGGUGCAGAUAUGAAAAUCCUAAGUGUGUUGUGCAUGCAAUCUACGGUUACCGAUGGAUAUGGUCUACUAUACUCGUAGCUUAUGCUUUAAUGAUCUUUUCUUUUCGUUUGAUCACCACUCUUAACAAAUAACAAAUGUAACACCAAAAAUUAAAAAACAAUCUAGUCCCUCUCCCAAUUUAUUUGUCGUUUUCGGUUUUUGUGUUACAUGUUUGACUUAAUUUGUAGAAAAUACGUGCAACAAUUAUGUCACUAAAUAAAUUUAUUAAAAAACUAGAUUCAAAGACGUUUCUAAUGAUAUCAAUUAUGUACCAUAAAUAUUAAUAUUUUCUAAUAUAUAUUUUGUCGGAAGCGCAAAUGACAAAUAGUUUAAGACGGAGGGAGUAUGAGUGUGAACCGGAAUUGGGGAGUGUUUUGUACAACUAAAGCUAAAUCUACAAGUCAUUCAGCAGUGUUUUUCUCUCACAACAAAUUAGUCAAUAGUACUUUAUGCCAUGGCUUAUUAGCCAAACGAACAAGGCGGUGGCUGCAGUAGCAAGCUAAAUUUGUUAGCCAUUCAAUAAUGUAACACCAGUUGUUGAGUAUGAGUAGCUAAGGUUGAUUAGCUUGUCUAGUUAGCCUCCCUACCAGAGAAGAAGUAUGCACUUACUUGAUUAAUCUAUGAUUCACUUAAUCUUAGAAGAUUGCGAUCAUGUCUGCACCUUGAUACAUGUUUCUUUGGCUCAUCAUCAUGAUAUAUUGCAUCUUAUGUGCAUUCUCUAUAUUUAUCACCUUGUCAUGCAUACUUAGGUGUACCCAUGGGCGUGACGGUCCUGGAAUUCGCACCACCCGAGCCCGAGGAGCAGCAGAGGGAGCCACCUCAAGGAGAAGGAGCUUAGGAGGAGGAGGACUUGCCAGAGUGCCCUGACCACCGUCGUUCCACCUACAUCGAAGGCAAGCCCUGGAGCAUUAUAAGACUCCUACUAUUUUUGUUAUCAUGUACAGCUGUCAAUUAACUAUGGUUAUGUAUUGUUGCAUUAAGUGUUAGGCGUUGAUAUGACAACCUUGCUGCAUAAUGACUACCUUGUCCACCUUAUACCUCACCUAAUUAGGUCCAGGAUCGAAAUAAUGCUUAGCCAUGCUUAGCUCGGUAGAAGCCAGGUGAUUUCUUGUCACCUGCGAGAGAUAGGUGGAUACGUGAUCACGGUUGGCUAUAUUUGCUAUCGUGGAGAUAACCAUGUGCUAAUAAUGAAAUGAGACCGGGCCGGAUGACGAUAGUGAAGCAACAAGGCAUGGAGGUCUUGGGUGUGGACCUAUCCCCGUCUGUGUCAUUUAACGACUGAUACGUUGUACGUCCUCUUGUCAUGUUGAACGCAUGCCUAACACUUAGUUGGUCAGAUAAGUCGUUCCGACCGCGAAGCCUACGAGUGCAACUUAGGCCGGAUACCCCGUUCUGUUUGAGUGCGCACCCCAGUUGAUAGCAAGGAUGUGUGGGGAGUCAAUGGCGUAAGACCGAGGUGUCAGGUUAGAGUCCUGACCCUGGCAAAUUGGCAGUCCCUGGGGGUGCGGCGCUGAACGGACUCGCGAAUUGGUCCGGAGUUGUGCUAAAGAUGAUCCGAGCUGUCCUCACGAGGUAUGCUUGGGUGAGUGCUAGGAAUACCCCUCCAACUGGAUAGGAAUCGAUUCGAAUCGCCGUCUCUCCCGGAUAGUGAGAACUUGACUCGAGCAGCGGCAACGUAGAACUCACUAAAUAAAUUUAAUGGUUAUGAUGAGAAUGUUGAUAGCUAUGUGAUAAUCCGGAUAUGAUUAUUAUUGUGAUGCUUAAUACUCAAGUGUAUGCUUAGAACAGGUGCUAAUCUAGUGGGUAAUGAACUUGCUGCUGAAAAUGUUAUAAAUGUGUUACUCAAAACUAAAGCUUUUUAUGCAAAAUGUGAGUCAAACCAGCCCACAAAUAUGAGCCUUGCAUACUCCUUGGUGUCACUUUAUUUCUGGUUUCUGACGGGUAAGUCUAGCUGAGUACAUUCUCGUACUCAGGGUUUUAUUUACCCCUGUUGUAGAUGAUGUCGUGUACCAUGGGUACUGUGCUAACUGUCACCAUCCGGCUGCGGAUGAUGAGUAGAUCUCAGGCAAGAUCACCUCUCGUAUCUUCAGUUAUGCUUUUGUUGGGUUGAUCAUGGAACUGGCAUCUAAUUGAACUAAGUGUGUGUUGUUUCAAAAACUACUUUGCUUCCGCUACUGAACUAUGUUGUAAUAACUUAUUGAACUCCGAUGUGUGUAAAACUAUGUUCUGUGAUGAAUGGUUGUAAUCUGUGAUGGAGAUGCUUGAUCAUGUACGGUCUUGGUUGUAUGUUGGUUGAAUCAAGAUCUUUUGAGGUUUCGUCGGACUACCGGGUUUAUAUGGGUUCAAGUCCAUUGGUUUGACUACUCUCGUGGUCGCUAAUUUACUUGAAUUCUUAUAAAUUAGACGGUUCUGUUACAAUGUGUACUUGGAAAGAAUGAAAACAUUGUAGCAACUCUUGAUCCAAAUACAUAUACUGCUUAGACUUGGUUUGCCAAGGGACUGGCAAAAGGUAAGCUUGGGGGAAUUGUUGACGGUCGAUAACGUCAACUUUUAUUACAACUUUAGACCUGAAGGAAAACAUGAAAACACACUAGUCUAGGGUUUUAUCUAACAAUUUCCAUGAGUUUUAUAUAUUCUGUAUUUUCUACGGUGAAUUUCAAGAAAGCUGAAAAGAAGGACUCUAGUGCCACGAGAAACGUCACAGGAAGACUUAGGAGGGAUUGGAGAAGACACCCGAAGCAACUGGGAGCUUGGCGGCUGCCAGGUGGGGCGGGCUAGCCCCACCAUAGCACCGGCCGGCGCCCCCUUAGGGUUUUGGCCCCCCUCUUCUAGAAGCUUCCUUCACCGCCUCUCCUGAUGCAUCUCGGCCCUUGGUUAAGUCGGUUUGAUCCUACGGCGCAUGCACAUCCCACCGGACUAUGAAUACAUGGGUAGACCCCCCUAGAGAGAACAACCAAUUUAUUAUUCAUCAAGGCCUCAAGCCAUUAAGUAUCAAGCGCCUUCAAGUUCAUCAAGAGCCUUCUAGUUCAUAGUUCUAGUUAGUUAGAUUAGAAGUAGAGGUGAUCUAGUUCUUCAUCGGGAUCUAAAGCCCCUGGCGUCGGUCUGGAGCGCAAGAGUUCAGUAAUAGAUCUAAUUCUUACUUUAUAGUAUUCAAUUAUAUAUUAGGAAGACUUUAUUCUUAAUAGAUUCAUAUGUUCUUAAUUGCAAUAGUCAUUGUCUACUUUAAUUAUAUGUCUAGGAUAGUUGGUUUGAUCUUAUUGAAUUCAUGUAAUUGCUCGUAUAGCGUUUACCUAAUCGAUCCUUGGGUAGAUGGUAGACAAUAUGUAGACGUGGUGUCUAGAUAUCUUGUUUAUCUCUGAGUGCACCCUGACGUGCCGGGAUAGGUGGUAGUCCGCUUAGGUGACAGCUACGUUGGUUCCUCUGUAGUCCACCCUCCGUACAUAGGUCUAGCAUGGGUGCGGUCGCAAAGGAGGUGACCCUUGUGUCUUAAUACCCUCAUUAGUUGAUGCCUCUUUACAUGUGAUUAUGAUAUAGGGUUGACUUAACGAUGAUUUCUAGAUGAUGUAAUUGCACUAAUUAUAGUUAUUCAUUGACGUAGUUAUAGAAUUACCUUAGAUCCAACUCUCUAGUUUAUCCAUUGGCUAACUAUGAUUAUGACUAGUAGAUGCUCUGAUGAUUAUCCUUAAUUAUGAUACUUGAUGAUUAUGCUAUCACUAUUAUUUAUCCAUAUUUAUCUUGUGACCUCUGCCUGUUAUGAGUAGAUUAUAUGACUUGGGUAAUAUCAUUUAUUCAUCCUAUAUAGUUUCUUAUCAAUAUAAUAGAUUAUAGUUUAACACAUAGCCCUCCCAAUGGUAUAAAUAUAAAUCGACAAUCUAGAUACUUCCCUAGGUAAAAUACUACAACGGUAUAAUUAUCUGUCCAUUUGCAGAACCCAUUUAGUUUAUAAUUAUAUUCAUAUCUUUUAUUCUCUGUCUAGUUGCAGUAGAACAUGUGAAUCUAUAUUAAAUUCCUAGCAAUGUAAUUAGAGAUGACAACCUACUUCAUGCUUAGGAAUAUUAGAGUUGUUAGUUGUUAAUUGACAAGUUAAUUAUAUACCGUGCAUUUCUGGUGUUGUUGCUAGAGGUAGGGUGUAGUAAUGACGGUAGUAAAUGUCAACACCAGCUUUUCCUCACCUUUUUCACUUUUCUUCUUGAGCUCCUCGAGUUCAGUUUGUACAGCAGCCCUAGCUUCAGCUGCCAGUUCUUCCCGAAGCUCGCUUUCAUUUGAUGAUGAUGCUUCAGAGGAUGCCACUGCUUUGAUGCCAACACUCCUCAGGAAAAUGUUUGAGCUAUUAUUGGAGAGCACCUAGGACACAAACUGCACACUGGAUACUGUUGUCUCACCUUCAGCAAUAGGUUCUGUCCUCAAAGCUUCCAUGUUUGCCUGCAAUUUGAAGCCAAUAAUGAACAUAUUUCUAUGAGGACACAUGUUUCAGCCAUGUUUCAAACAAUUUGAGAUUAUAAGGGAUGAUCAAUCAUUCUAGAUUCACAUGUAUAUAGUGCUGCAAUUACAAGUAUAAAGUGUAUCUCAAGAAGACAGGAAAUUCAAUAAUAUAUUUUUCUUUUUAAAAAAACUCUACUGUAACUAACAUGUUCUUUUUACUUCUGUAUUCUCCCUGUUGUAUCUGAGGUGAAGCUGGAGUGUGUCAUGUGUUUAUCAUGCUGUAUUUGGCAUUGCUGAUGUCAUCUUUUAAACUAUGGGAUGAGUGGGAGGAUUUGUUUUCUUUUUCCUUCUAGGAUCCUGCAUAAUUCCGACAGGAAGUUCACAGCAGCUGAGAAUUCUCUUACCAAUGACAGAGAAGAAUAAGUAGACUGUUGAACUUUGCUUCUAUCUUUGUCAUAUUGGUUUCCUAUAUCUGAAAUCCUUUUUUUUUCUCUAAGAUUCAAGGUCACCCAGUAGCCAACAUAGAUUAAAAAUAGAUUAAAUAGAACUUCCGUUUCAAGUAGCCAUUUACUUAGAAAAAUAAUUUAGAUUUUUGUUGACUUAGUUUUAGGACUGGAUCAAUCUACCAACCUUGUAGACCUAGGUACACUAGGCUUCACCAGCACUUUGUAGCCCUAGGUACACUAGCCUGAGUAUCUCCUAUUUCCUUUGUGCUGGAUGCCUUGCUAUUUUGAGGGUGCUACGAACCAUUUAUGUGACUUGUCUAUUUCCUAGGCAUUGACAUGAUAUGUGUGUGUGUGUGUGUGUGUGUGUGGCCUUGAGUCACCUAUAGGCAAGCUAUACUUGUUUCCACUGAUGUGGUCAUUGUAACAGUGACAAGUCAUAAAGAAAACUACCAAGUCAUAAAGGAAACUAGUCAUGAAGAAGCACAACUACACAAGUAUAAAUUAUUCAAUUAAUGGAAAAAAUGGGAAAAAUAUAUUAUUCAGCAAGUAUGACAUUCUAUUUCCCAUUUUUCCAAGCCAUGCUUAUUCAGUGAAUAACCAACAAGUAUGACAUGUUGGGCCACUGAUUAACCAGCAAGUAUGAAUAACCAGCAAGUAAAAUGGAAAAAAGGGACACAUGUUGGGACACAAAAUAACCAGCAAGUAUGACAUUCUAUUUCACAGGCAUACCAGCUCCAUUAAUUCAAUAACCAACAAGUAUGACAUUCAAUUAAGAGAAAAACGGGACACUGAAACACAUGUUGGGACUUACAACUGCUUCUCUUGUUGGUUCACUGAGACCAUGCUUGGAGCUGGUAUGGCAGCUCUUGAAGGCCUCCACCACAUCAAGUUCUUCAUUUUGUUGUGUGUUGGGUUCUGCAUUGUUCCUGUUCUGCUUCUGUUUCAUAGAGAAUCCAUUAUAACAAAGUUUUGUGAGUCUUAUGAUACAAAAGUCAAUCUUAUGUACAGAAAGAUUUACUUACAUAUGCAUAUAAGUGUGCCACAUAGUUGCGAGAACCGGUAGUCUGAUGAUACUUCACUCUACUAUGAUUAAUAUUAUUCUUUUCACUUGUUUCCUCAAAGAGAAUGAACAUGUGAGAUGAUUUCAUAGGUUUCAAAUGAGAAGAUCCACUGGAAACUCAAUGAGAUAGAAUAUAUGACAAGAUACGCAUACCAUCUUUUUUGGAUUAGUCUACUUUGCAACCAGGGCCUGCCACUCUUGAUCAGACAUGCAUGAAACUAGAGAAGUAGUGGGAAUCUCAUUUGCAGGUACACCAUUGAAGUAUUUCUUCUUCAGCCAAUACCGCAUUUGUCGGACCCCAGACCGUAGCACAUUGGUGCAAGCUUCCUCAGUUGGCUUAUCCUCCCUGUUAAUGGCCAAGCGCCCCUAGACAUAGGACAACUCGAUAUUUAGUUAGUCAAUUCUGGUUGAGAAGAUAUUCAUGUCAAACAUAGGAAUAGUAAGGCACUUACAGAGAGCUUUCCCACAAAAUCUUUGUAAUAUUUGUCGUCUUUCUUGUACAACUUCCAAUGAGGUAGGAUAGGAACCUUAUCUGAAAUAAUGACACCGGACUCAGAUGCAAACUUGGCUCCUUGAACAGGUUCAUGAGGCCUUCUUUUGCCUUGAGCAACAGAUAUGGGCAGUCUUUUUCCCAUAGCUUUUGUCAUCCUGUCCAGCUAUGAUCCCUUGGUGGGGGUCUAGGUUCCCUUGGGGCUCGCUGUGCAGGAGCUACAAAAUAGAAUUUGAAUUUAAAUGCUUUAGUUUCAUGCAAUUCAGCUAAAGAGAUGACAAAUUUUGAUGAGAAGCAAAGUUUUACUUGCCUUCAGUGUCUUCCUGUACAUUGUCUUCAUCAUGACAUGUACUGCCUUGACCAGCACCUCCACUUUCUUCCUCUGCAGGUGUAGUGUCCUGAACACCAGCUGUAUUGCCUUCUUCUGCAGCUGUGGAAGACCUUUGUGCUAUUUCUUCUUUAUUGUUCCCUUGUGUUCCUAACAAAUGAAGCCUUUUUGAUGUUCUUGUUUGUGAUUGAGGAGGUUGCACCUCUGAUCCUUCAGAUGCCCUAACUCUCUUGCUAGCCCUUCCUCCUAGAGCCAUGUUGUCACCUGUCUUCUUCAUCUUUGAAGCUUUGCCUCUAGGAUUAGGAGUAAACCCUAGAGGAUACUGUGGAAGAAACAAGUGUCAUACAUGUGAGAAUUGUAUUUAGAGAGCAUAGUAAUAAUUGUACAAGUUUGUUAGUUUGAGAUUGUCAAUUGACUGUACAAGGUUAGUAGAAGCAUAGCAUGCUAGUUUCAUAUUAUACAAAUAUGAGAAGUAGGCAUUAUUUGUUUCUGAGAAAAAGACUUUGGUCAUGCUCAUGACAUAUCACCUACACAAUAACUCAUUGGAAACACUUAUAAUAAUUCUAGGGAAUACUAACUUAAGUAUUUACCUUUGUUGCUAGGGGUUGUGGCUGGUCAUCAGAUUCAGUGUCAUCAUCAUCACCAUCUCCUUGAUCAUCAUUGUCAAGGAGAUACUCCGAUGAAUCAGAAUCUUCACUACUUGAUUUCUUGUUUGCUGAUUUUUCCCCUUGUUUGAUGAAGAUUCAGGUAAAGAAUUAUUAAAUCAUUGGCUAAUUUUUCAGUCCCGGUUCUUGCAUCCUCUUUUCUACUGCUGCCACUUGUGCAUCUCGCCUUCUCUCAUAAGCAUUUUUUCGAGGUUCUUACUAGAAGAAGCAAAUUGUGUGUAUUAGAGAAUAAAAUGGCUUGAAGUAAGAGUGAAUACUAGAUGCUAGAAAGAUAAAAGAUAGGUAGUAGGAGUGGCUGCUGAAUAGAUUAGGGAGAUAAGAGGUGAUUGAUAGGUCCAAUAAACCACACAAACUUGUAUAUGAAGGAAAGAGACAGAAGUACUUCAUAGAGAUUGUAGUUCUGUACAUUACUUUGAACUAGUACUACUAGUAGUAGAGAUGUGUAGAAGAGUUGAUAGGAGAAGAGAGAGAAGAGUAGUAGAAUAGUAGAGAGGAUAGUAGUAGAAGUAGUGUAGGGAGGAGAAGAGAGAAGAGACGAUAAAAUAGUAGGUAAGUACUACUAGUAGUAGCAACAGCCACUACACAACAGUAGUGUGUAGGAGUAGUAGUAGUACUAGUCAAGUAGUAACAACAGUACGAUAUUAUCACCUGCUGCUUGGAUAAAAAAUAGUAUAUGCAGACAACCGACACAAGUACUAAUAGCUAAGAGUUAGUAUAUGAAGGAGUGAAUUCAUAGCUAAGAGGUAGUAUAUGAAGACAAGAGACACAAGUACUUUCAUAAGACUUCAGUGCCUCCACAUUACUAUGUUAUUCUUAAUAAAAUAGAUAAUCAAAUAGACUACUGCUGAUCCUAAUAUUUGAGACACCAGCUAGAGUAUAGCAGAGAAAUCAAAUAAGAAACAUGACAGUGCUAAGUAGUCAUCGAUUUUGCAUACAUAAGUUCAGAUCCUAGACUUAGAUCAAUCAAACAAACUAAGAAAUAAUACAACUAAAAAGAAAAGUAUAGGCACAUUUACUUCCAAACACCUACCUACAUCUCAUGUUGAUCUGUGUUAAAAAAGUGGUAGUAGUAGAGGAAUGGUAAAUCUGUUUUGACACUAUAGAAAAAAGCUUCAUGGACCAUAAUUGCAAAGUACUUUAGCAUAUUGGGAAUUCCCAGGUCACUGAGAUAGCUAUCCUAAUCAUUCAUUAAAUCUUAAUUGUAUUACUUUCAUUGACUGAGUUCGUGCAGACCUCUCUACUAAAGUAGACACACACUUACCCCUUUUCAACUAUCUAAGAUACAACAAUUCAUCACUUGUAAGGGGACUAACACCUGCAGCUAGCAAUGCAUUACAAUUAGCCAAAACAGAUGAUCACACAACACAAGCAUUAUCUAGGCUCACUAGAGAACAAUCAUUCACAGACAUGCAAAAUAGCAGUCACUUGUAAAUAUCAUAACUGGAGUUCUGUAGCACCACUAGACAUGAACCAAGACUUUCUGGAAAGCUUAAUAAGUUUACUACAACUUUCUUAAUCAUGUCUCAUGCUGAAUCAACUAGUAGGUAGCCCAAACAGACCCAAAUUCACAGACUGCUCUGCAAAUGCUGAGAGCAGACAUGUCCUAGCUCAGAAUUGCUAAGGCUAUAACUCUGAAAGCACUAGGCCCAUUACCAUGAUAUUUUAAUAGCAACUAUAUAAUCAAGUUAUCUACAACUUUGUUAAUACAAAGAUUAACAUAAAACAUGGUGGCCAAAUGCAAAUAGAUUAUUUACAUGCAAAGACUUUUUGUAAACACCCAACAUGGUGGUCAAAAGUAUUGUUUGUGUUAAAACUUAUAAAGGCAUGUAAUCUAUUUAGUAUCUGUAGCUCAAAAAAUUUGACAAAGGACAGACCUGGACUAUUUAUAUGAAAAGUGAAUCUAUUGUACAAGAUAGUUUGCAAUGCCUCUGAUUAGCAGUUAGAAAUAGAACCUAGCAGAUUGGAUAUUUGUCCCCUCUGAAUCUACCGUUGAAUUUCUCCCCUCUGAAUUGUCAACAAAAUAUUUUCUAAGCCAUGUCCUUAUCAAGCACACAGAUGGAUCCUAAACACAGAAGCCCUUGUUCGACAUGCAGGCAACCAGAAGACCAACAAUGUUUAAGUACUACUAGAACAAAGAAAAAAAAUACAUGAAUAUAUAAAAUAGAGAAGAUUUAUGGUUACCUUGUUCUGGUUCUGCAGGCUUCUUUGUACCUUGACGCCUAGUUGUGAUCAUUGGUCGUGGCCCAGGGGCUCGUCGGUGGCAGGGAUGCAGAUCUAGUGGUGGUCGGCGACGGACGUCAAUGGGGAAGAAGGCUGGGAUGCAGCUCGUCGUCGAGUCGUCUGCGUUGGUCGUCAACGGGGAACAAGACGUCGAUGCAGCUCCUCGAGUCAUCGAUGGCGGGCAUCAAUGGGGAAGUAGACGGGGCUCCUCGACUCCUCGACGACGCUGGAGGCUAGGGGAAAAACGGAGCUCCUCGGCUAGGUGGUCAUCGGCGGUGGAUGGGGAGGUGAGAGAGGGGGAUGCGGCGAUUGAGCUCACCGUCGACGCAGCUCGGCCCGAGGAAGCUAGGAUUGCAGAAUUGUGGGGUGUGGGGGGUGGAGAGGAAGAAUGGUCACGUGGGAGUCGGGAGUGGGGGAGAUGGAUAGAUAAUGAAAUUAUUUUUGGUGGUAUUUUUUAGGACGGAAAAUGUUUGCCACGCUCCCGGUUGCGGUAUCCUGGCGGAUCUGAUUUGUUCAAUUAAAAUUUUGCUGCACCAAUGUCAAACACACUACGAUGGCGCAAUGGUAAGGCCCUUUGAUUUUUAUUACAUGGUCUUGGAUUCAAAGGCUAUGUCGGCCAUUUUUUCCAUCAUUUUGGUGUUUUAUAUUUUAGUGAUUUUUUGUAUCAUCAUGAUUUAGGUAGACUUUUAAUUAGUAUAAUAUUCCUUAAUUAUUAGCUUUAUUUAUUUUGAAAAUAUUACCUUUUGUAGCUAUUGAUUUAGUAGUUUGUUGCAAAACUAAUAAGUAUACUUGCUACAAUAGAUUCACUGAGGUAGGAAAAUCUUGAAACUUGCACGGACACAUUUCUUUGGUGUUUGAUCAUGACAUAACAAUAUUCAAAUUAUUUUGACAAUGUGGUCGUAUACAUAUCUUACAAUCAUGAACAUAUCUCAUUUAUUCUAUAGGAUUUAUCCGAGACAUGCAUGCAUACCUUUUGUGCUUUGGUGCAUGACCACUUUAUCCAAAUAAAUUGAAACUUUUAGUCAUCAUUAUACACCAAAAUGAGGUGGCAUCCAGAGGUCCUGGGUUCGAAGGCUAUGGCGGCCUAUUUUUUUCCAUCAUUUUUUGUGUUUUAUUUUUAGUUAUCUAUCAUCAUGGUUUAUGCCAGAUUUUUAGUUACCAUUAUAUUCCUUAAUGAUUAGACUCAUUUAUCUUUAAUAUUCUUAUUACCUUUGGUAGCUAUCAAUGUAGUUAGCCGUUGUUGUAAAACUAAUAAAGAUACAAGGUUCAAUAGAUUAACUCGGGUACGAAAAUGAAGAAACUUGGAUGGACACCUUACUUUGGUGUAUAAUCAUGACAUUAAAAUAUUUUAACAAUUAUGCUUCACUAAUCCAACAAAAGUUCAUAGAUUGAUAGAACAUCAUAGUUUCCUCAAUAAAAAUUUCAAAUGAACAAGUCUCACUAAGUUAUUAGGUACUAUACAUGUAUGCCUUUGAUAUGAUGUGCAAAACUAUGUAAAAAAUUAAUAGGAUGUAUGAUAAUCAAUGAGGUUAUUAAGCAAUAAUAUACUAAUUAAAAAAACCUGGUACAAAAAUGAACAUAGAGAUAUAAAAAAUAGAACACAUAAAAAUGAUGGAGAAACAACAAAAAAUUAGCUCUCACUGGGUUCAAACCCGAGAGCUGAGGGUAAAACUCAAUGUGCCUUACCAUUGUGUUAGUCUAGUGAGUUUAGUAAAUUUGUAACGCAGUUUUACUUAAACUAAAGCAUAAGCGUGACAAGUCCACAUGUCCUGGUGUAUGAACAGAUCGGCAUCGUCCCCUUUCUUUCCCUACGCCGUAGCCUUCGACCCGACACCAUGCACGCCUCUGGCCUGCGCUGCCCACCAUCUCCCAGGCUACCGCACCGUCGCCGUCUCCUCGCCCACUGCGCAAUUGUCGUCUUCCCGCCCACUGCGCCAUCGCAGUCUGGGAGCCAGCUAUGCCAUCGCCUCCAUCGUCGAGCCCUGCAUCGGCCCCGUGGCUGUCUGCACUAACUCUGCAGACGCGGACGUCUCCAUGCUCGUUCGAGUUCGGGAGGCGCAGCACAUGCCAAGGAUGCGCAACUCCAGCCCAGGCAGGCCAUGUCUAGUGCGCCCCUGUCUUCUGCAGCAUGACCUUGCACAAGUGGUGCCUUCAAGGUGCUCGACCUUUGGUCCGACCCUUGUAGAGUGUCAAGUCAGAUUUGUCUUUGGCCAGAAAGUUCAAUACAUUGAUGAGCUCCUCCUGAAUGAUGCUGUAGUGAGAAUGCUGGCUCGUCACGGAGAUCGCCCACAUGUGGAAGACCGACCGACUCAGGAUGUAUGAUGCUCUAGUGAGAAUGUUGGCUGGCAACAACAUUUGAGCUCAGGAGUUGUAGCUCUGCGUUUCAGUUUCAGUUAAGAGGACAGAGGUUUUUUAUUAGCAAGUAGGAUUACGAUGUGUAAUGUUGAGUUUCAGUGAAUGCAGUACUUGUGUUAUGACAAUGGGUUUCUGUGAAUUGUAAUGUGUUUCAUUGAUGAAAAUGACUCACCUUCAUCACGUUUUUCCUACUCAAACUGCAUUACUGGAUUUUAAUGGAAUUUGAUUGAAAAAAUCUACUAAUCUCCAAUGAUACCCAGGUCUGAUCAUUUAAUAUGCUAAAAAAAGGUCUGAACAUAUGAUCUAUACCUUUAUGACCAAUGCACAAAAGGUAACUCAGGUUGCUUCCACAAAAGGAAAAUUUAUUUGCUGCACAAAAGACACAUCUUGUUUAUAAGAAUCCAUUUGUGAUAGCAGUUUUAAAGAUUAUGAAACACUGUAUAUCAGUGACAACUUGUUCAAGCACAAACAAUUCAGAAUGCUAGAAAUAACUCAAGCUGAAAUAAUUCAGAAUCUAUAGUUCACAGGAAUAAGUAAAUAAAAUUACACAAAGCCAAAAAAUUAUUAAAUAUAGGCAAAUGUUCGGCAAACAAAAACUGUAUUGCAGUCUAGGGACAUGUCACUAGUCCAUACUAGAAUUCACCAUCUUCUUCAUCGAGGUACAUGUCAUCAUUAUCAUUGUCACCAUCACUAUAGUACUGCAGUACCGUAUCAUCUUCCUCCUCAUUCUCACUAUCUUCUUGAAUUAUAGGUUGCUUCUUGCUUCUUAAAAGGCCUUGUAAAUUUCCUUUAAUUAUAGUGGCUUCUCCACCAUGAUUAUUGUCCCUAACCUCAUUAUCAUCACUUGCUUGCACUAUAUGCUCAGUAUGAGAACCAUAAUCAUCCUAAUGCACAUCAUGACUGGCCUCAUCUUUUUCAGCCACGUCAUAAAUAUUUCUAUUUUCAAAUUUCUCACAACUUGCCAAUCUUUACCUAAAGCUGUGUCUUCUAGGUAACAUAUCUUUUUCAAUUGAGUAGAUAAGAUGAAAGGAUCAGUCUUGUACCAUAAUGACUGCACAUUGAUGAAUUUGAAAUAACUGUCAUCUCGAGGGCCUCUCGUCUUGCCUUCUUGGUUGAACCAAUCGCAUCGAAAUAGAACCACUGUUUGACGGACUUAAAAAUUAGAAUUAUAUUCCAACUCAAUAACCUCUUUAAGGACUCCAUAAAAAUCUAUAUCCCUCCCAUUAUGUGAACCUGGUGUCAUUACACCACUAUUUUGUGUUAGGAGGAACUUCUUACGAUCCACAGUGCUAUACCACACUCCAUUAACCUUACAAGCAGCACAUGUCUUAACUCACAGAUCUGGGCCAUAUGAAAGUGCCCAUAGUCCUUUACUAAUCGAUUCAGGAUUCUCCUUGCAUUUGUUCUCAAUCUAUUGAAACAAAAGCACUCAGUUCACAAAUUACAUAUGAAUAGUAAUGCAUUUACUGAACCUACAAACAAAAUGUGUAGUGACUUACAUGGCGCUUAAACCACUUUGCAAAUCCUUGUUCAACCAUUGUAUCAACAUCAUGUGCACCUUGCUGCACUAGAUGCUCCUUGUACAAGCUGUAGAGCAAAGAUUAAUUGUAAGAAUAAUUAGACGUGUUUGAACUAUACAAAUAAAAACUCAAACAUCCAAACGAUACUUACUCUAAAUAUUCAUCCACUUCAUCACAAUUAUUAAGCACAUACCAAACUAACUUAUUCAAGACAACAUCAUCAAUAUACUAGGUCCUAUUAGAUCCAACAAGAGUAACACCAUGCCUAAAAAUAGAGAUGUCAUCAGGUAAUGCCAUCUCUCCACCACUACCAUCAUCCUGGUUAAAUCUAUUCUCAAUAUCAUCCAUGUACCUAGAACAAAAUGUCAAGGUGUCACUUGCCAUAUAUGCCUCAGCAAUUGAUCCUUCUGGCUUAGCCCUAUUCCUUACAAAAUUCUUCAAAGUGCCUAGUCACCUUUCUAUUGGGUACAUCCAUCCAUACUGAGCAGGUCCUCUAAGCAAUGCUUCAUCUGAAAGAUGGAUAGCCAAGUGCACCAUGACAUCAAAGAAGGUAGGUGGAAAGAUUUUCUCAAGCUUGCAUAGGAUCAAUGGAAUUUCCUCUUUUAGUCGUUUCACAACAUCUAUCCUUAGGUUUCUACUGCAUAGUUCCCUGAAGAAGGUCCCGAGCUCUACUACUGCUUCAUAUAGAUCCUUCCUCACCAGACCUCUUAGGCUAGCUGGUAUGGUUCUUUGUAGGAGUAUGUGACAAGAAUGUGUUUUCAGCUUCCCCUGGACCUUUGAACCAUCUUCACUUAUGUAUCUUGUUAGGUUAGCUGCAUAUCCAUCAGGAAACUUGAUACCCUUGAGAAACAUGCAAAACUCGAUUUUUUGAUUCCUCCAAAAGACAUACGCAGUAGGUGGAGUAGUGACUGUGUUGCCAUCCUGCUGUAAGUGCAAUUUUGGUCUUAUGCCCAUAUCAUGCAAAUCUAGCCUAGCAUUGGUUGUGUCCUUAGUCUUUCCCUAUACAUUGAGCAAUGUGCCAAGAAUGUUUUUACAUAUGUUUUUCUCUGUGUGCAUCACAUCGAGUUUAUGUGGAAGCUUCAAUUCUUUCCAAUAUGGCAAUCUCCACAACCCAACUUUGUGGCUAUAAAUCCUUAGACCCUCAUUGUGCUUCCUUUUAUUUCCAAUAAUUUCUAGAUGCUUCCCUAGCCUCACAUCUUUCACCUUCUCUAGCUCUUCCAUUACCUCCUCCAAAGUGAACUUGCCUGGCUGAUCUUUCUUUUCAUGCUUACCAUCGAAAGCCAAGCUUCUCCGCCACUUAUGUGUCAUUGGAAGGUAACGACGAUGUCCAAUGUAACAUAGCUUAUUCCUUAUAGCCCGGGACAAUGGAUCCUUGUCACAAUGAGUACAUGCAUAAUACCCUUUUGUUCUUUGCCCUGAUAACAUGCUCAAUGUUGGAAAAUCAUGUAUACACCACAACACGGCAACACAGAGGUCAAACUUCCGACCAGUACAUGCAUCCAAGGUAUUGACACCGUUCCAUAGUUCAAGCAGUUAUUCAAUAAGGGGCUCAAGGUACAAAUCAAAAUCCUUUCCUAGAGAUUUUGGACCUAGUAUGAGUAAAGACAUAAAGUAGUUUGUUGGAUUCACGCAUUCCCAUGGUGGGAGAUUGAGCGGAGUCAGAAGCACUGGCCACAUACUGUACUGGGUACUCAUGUUGCCAAAUUGAGUGAAUCCAUCGGUAGCUAAGGCAAGCCUCAAGUUCCUUGGGUCUCGUGCAAAAUCUAGAAAUUUCCUGUCUAAGUCCUUCCAUGCUUCCCCAUCAGCUGGAUGGCUCAUUACAUUGUCAACUGGCAUCCUCAUUUUCUUGUGCCAUUGUGUUUCCUCAGAAGUUUGCUUCGAUGCAAAUAUUCUUUUUAAACUUGGUAUAAGAGGAAAAUGCCUUAAUACCUUGUGUGGAACCCGCUUGGUCCCUGUUUUGUCUUGCCAUCUAGAUGUCUUGCAUACUGGACACACAUUGUCUUUUUCAUAUUCCUUCCGAAACAACACACAAUUGUUCUUACACACAUGGAUGUUAUCAAAUGCAAGCCCUAGUUCUCCAAGAUAUUUCUUGGACUCAUCAUAUGAUUUUGGCAACUCACUCUAUGGGAAUCUAGAUGACAACAACUUCAUCAUUGUGGUAAAUGUUGUAUUGCUGAUGCGAUAACGAGACUUGAUAUACAACAACCUCACUAGAAAAGAGAAAUUUGAAUGGCUAGAUCCCGAGGACUCUUGCAAACCUUGGUUGUUCUCCAUCAGCCCCUGCCGCAGCAUACAAAUCUCCGAUCAACUCUAGUACUCCAUGAUCCUCAUCAUAAUCAUCAUCAAGCACAUCCCAAUGUAUCCCAAAGUCAUGAUCACUCCCCUCAGUCUCUUCCUCCACAUUCUUAACUACUACGGCAUGUGCCGACUCCCCAUGGUGAAUCCACCUGGUGUAUGUAGCUGACAUUCCAAAAAUGUGUAUAUGGUCACUUACAUCAUGUUGAGGCCGCAUAGUUUGAUUAAGACAUUUGCGGCAUGAACAAAGUAUGUCACUAUCUUUUGCGUAUCUUUCACUAACAAAUGUCAUGAACUCUUCAACUCCUUUCGUAUAUGCAGGUGUGAAUUGUGUACCAUAAAUCCAGCUUCUAUCCAUCUGUUUUGGCAAUACAAUUUAAAAAACAAAUUAGAGUAAAUUCAACACAAUUCAAAAACACAACAACAUGCAUGUAUGUAAAAAAAUUUCAAAAACCUUGCUCUCAGUUCUUAAAUUCCAUUAAUAAAUCCAACAAAAUUCAAAAACAAAUUGAUUAACAAAUCAAACCUUGUACUCGGCGAUCCUUUGCUUGCACGCCACGUGCAGCUCUGCUCGCUGAUGGUGCUGCUCUGUCCCACGCGUGCCGCCGCAGCCCGACACCAAUAUUCACGCCCGCACGGCGCUGAUCAGCCGCUGCGAAUGCCAAGCCACUGAGGACGCCAGCCCGGGACGAUGCGCCGUAGUAGGGGACUGCUAGCUUGCUGCUGGGGGGCGCCUUGACGCCGGGGAUGCCUCGCCACUGGGUCUAGGGUCACAGACAGGCUCACGAUCAGGUCAUGUUCGCGACCAGCAGGCACGGGACGUAAGCGAUCAUGUGUACAAGGCCCAUCAAUUCGAUCGAUUUAUUAAAAAAAUAUCAUGAACUAAGUACAAAUAGAUAAAUUUUCAGUUACAAUCACAAAAGAGCGAGUGUUCUAUUGGUAAGGCUUGUGCUUGUUAAUCAUCAGGUUGCGGGAUCAAACCCCCAUGGGAGCAAUUUUUUGCACAAUAAAAUGGAGGGGGGCCCGCAUCGCCUAGGAACACGCUGGUGGGCCACGACGCCAUGUCGACUCCUCACCGUGGGGGUGGGUCUGCAUCACCUGGGACCCGCUAGUGGGCCAUGCUGCCACAUCCUUGAGGUGGGACCCCUGGUGGGACCAGGACGCCACAUCCUCGAGGUCGGACCCACUUGUUGGACCACGACGCCAUGAAGUCGAGGUGGUACAAGAGCCAAACAGUCAAUGACGAUUUAGUUUUGUUGUUGUAUGACGUUCCUUUCAAUUUCGUCAUUAAUCUUCAUUCCAAAGCUCCGUCAGUUGUGACUUAUCAUGAACCUACAAUUUUUUUCAUCGAAUGCUCUCAUUUGGUGACGAAAUUAUGAAUCGUCACUAGUGUAUCGUCAUUGAUUAACACUUCUGCUUUAACCCUGUCAGACUGCAAAACCCAUCAGUAGCAUUGAAAACCAAAUGUACUAUAAUGCAUAAAAAGGUGAGCCCAUAGAGACGCAAUGGGCUGUCCCGCACAAGAACCAAAACAAAGUGGGCCCACCAAAACCAACGAAGAGGAAAACCGCUUGCAGAUUUAUCGGGACAAUAUGUGAAACUAAAAUGGUAUAUGCUUUCCUAGAUUUUUUGGGAGUGGGAAAGGUGCCACCGGCAUAAUAAAUAGCCAUACGAAGAGCAACGACCAUUCUUCACCAAGGCACUUGCCAUUCCUUGCCUAACGCACCAUCUUCUUCCUCUGUCCUUCAAUCAUCUAAGCGGGAUCCUAAAACCAAAACACAAACUCAAAUGGCUAGAGGCGACAUGAAGAAGAGGUCAAAGAUGAUGGACAAGGAGUGGUGGAAAUCCAAACCCACCACACAAUCCAUCAAUGAGCUCAUUCCGAAUGGGCGUGCUGCACAACCAAGAACUUGGAGGAUGGAGGGCACCUGUGGCAGAAAGCUUCUCCGACCCGAGACCCGGUGAGAUUGUCGUAUUCGAGGAUUUCUUUAAAUGGAGCUUUGGGAUCUUGGUUCAUCCGUUUCUUCAGGGCCUAUUGUUGCAUUACGAGAUUGGGAUUUGCAACCUGCAUCCCAACUCAAUCCUCCUCGUUGCUACUUUCAUUCAUCUCUGUGAGGCUUUUGCGGGGAUAGAACCGCAUUUUGAUCUAUUUCUCUACCUCUUCUGCCUGAGGAAGAAAGGGGCCCAUGGGGGAUCUAAGAUUGCAGGUGGAGUAUACCUCAAUCUUCAUGAUGGAAUGAAGGCGCAUUAUCUUAGCUGCCCCUAGAACCCCUCCUUGUCAGAAUGGUUGGUCUUAUAGGAUGGCUUGUCGUGGAUCGACUAAAUGUUCACCUUAGGAGUUAGUCUAUGGGCAUGAAGCUAUAUUACCUCGGGGGAUUAACAUUGGAUCUCGAAGAAUAUCACAAUAGGAUGAGUUAGAAGCUGAUGAUUAUAAGAAUCUUAAGUUGGAUAAUUUAGAAGAUUUAAAUUCUCAUUGGCUAAGAGCUCUAGAAUAUAUUAAAGCUCAUAAGGUUAGAAGUGCCAAAUUCUAUAAUCAGAAGGUACAAGAGAAGAGAUUCAGUGAAGGGGAAUUAGUUUGGAAGGUGAUUUUGCUAAUUGGAUGUAAAGAUAACAGAUUUGGUAAAUGGUCAUCUGACUGGCAAGGACCAUAUCAAAUUACUAGGGUUGCUCCUGGAAAUGCUUAUUUUUAUGAGACAUUUGAAGGGAAAAGUAUUCUAGAGCUAUCAAUGAAAAAUAUUUUAAGAAGUACUACCGUAAUGUGUCGGUUGAUUUGCUUUAGUCGAUUAGAGUGUUGGGAUGGAUUUUGAGAGCUGAUAUAGUCAGUAUUGCCUUUAGUACAAAAAUAGAAAGUCCUUAAUAGGUGACAAUAGCCGAUACGAUGUGUAUUGCCUUUAGAGCAAAAAAAUGAAUAAAAUGUAAAGUUCCUAUCAAUGCAGGAAGUACAUAGAUUGUCUUGAUGGACAAUGUCAUAGGUAUAAGGACAGUUGGAUCAACAAAAUAAAGAUAAGCUGCCCCGAUGGGCAGUAGCAUGUGUUCAGUGUUAUUACAUCAGCAAAACAAAAUAAAAGAAGAACAAUUUAAUCUUUGUCGCUGAAGACAUGAGCAAUGAUGUCUUCGGUGGAAGAGACUUGGGCGAUGGCUUUGGCGCAGAGAGCGAAGUCCUCCACUAGCUCCUCGAAGCCUUCGUCAUUGUGCUCUUUGAUGAAGCUCAGAAUGAGGGACUCAAAGAGCUGGACCCCAUGCAGAGUUGGGCUGCUACCAGCGCGUCUGCUGCAAUAGAGUAGAUGCCAUGGAGGGCCACCUCUCGGAUGCAGUCGGGGACAUCAUGGAGGCACUCCACCUAAGGUCUCUCAAUGCGCGUUCACCAUUCUGGUGACUGCGUCGAUGGCAGGAGUGAGCAUAUUGAGUGGCUCCCGCAAGCUGAUUACUAAAGAAAUAAAUUCAGAAUAGAGGAAGAACUUACCGACAACAGCAGAGUUGGAUUCCACCAGUUGCUCCUUGGCCACUGCCAAGGUUCUCUCAGUGCUCUCCAGCACCGCCUCCAUGGCGCUUACCUACUCCUAGAGCCGGUGAGACCUCUUACACUCCUUGGAGUAGAGGUCUUGGGUGCCACGAAAGCAGCAAAGGUAGUCCAAGGCGUCUUUGUUGCGGAAGACAGCAUCCAUUCCUAGGGCAUCCUCUGAGCUUUGCAGCUUCGAAGCCGCUUGGCUCGCGUCCGCCUCCUGGAAGGCCACUGGUUCCACUAGAGAAGGAGAGGACGCUGAUGCCACUCUAGGAAGGUGGCUAGGCCUGCACCAAGAUUGACUUAGGGGGCAGGGCUACAGGAAAAGAUGAGAAUGAGCAUAGUUCAAAAUCAAUGGAAUGAGAUAUCUAAGUUACCUGUUCAGCCUCCGGCGCUACACGGGCUGCUCGACCUUAUCGGAGGAGGCUGUUGCAUGGCGUUUUCCCCUGCUGUCCGCCAUAAGUUAGGGUUUGAAAGAAAGAAGAUGGGUGGUUUUGAAGAGGAAGGACAAGAGGUUGAAGGUGAAGACAGAUGAGAGUUGGAGUGCCUUCUCCUGGAACCCAUGGUGUUAUUUAUAUAUAUUACAAAAGAUGGAACGACAUGCGGUUAUCCUACUGAAGUAAGUGGAUCAGCUAAAUUGAGAAAUGUUUCCAUUAUGUGGAGUAAAUGGAUGAGCUACAUUGAGAAAUGUUUACGUUAUAUUGGGAGAGUGGAUCGACUAGAGGAUUAUCAAUUAAGCUGACUAUGGCUCAUUUUAAGUGAGUGGAUCAGCUAAAUUUGCUGAUGGGACUCUGGACUAUCUAUAGCUUGUGUUUGUUUGAAAUACUGAAUUGGUAAAACUAUUGACAUGGAUCAUUGUUGACAUAUCAAAAUUUGAAGGAAAACAAAAGUAAAUGGAAUAAUCAUGUCUGACGAGUUUGGAGAAUAUAAAGAUAAACAUAGAAAAAAUACUAUUACGGUUUACAUGUUUAAUACAGACUUAAUACAGUUCAGAGCUAAGAUCUGAAUGUUAUCUGUCUCAGCUAUUUGUUGAUGAUCUUCUUCGGCUGUCCCUGGGAUCUUGGCUUUCUUCUCAUGCUUGAUUUUGUCAAGCUUGGUUUUUAGACCUGCCAUGGUUUUCUUCUAAGCAGCUAAAGAUGUAGGGAUCUUGGAUAAAGUUUCUUCCUUCUGCUUGAUCAUUCCAUAGAUAGUUUUUAGCCUAGCUAACAGCUAUGUCCUUUCUUAAUUGAUGGUGGCCAGUUCUUUGUUGAUUUCGACAGGAUAUUCUGUGAGCAGAUCGAUUGUUUUCUUAACUGAUAGAAUCUCUUGAAUCCAUUGACCUUCUUUGAUACCUAAAUUAUUUUGGGCUUCUUGAGCUACAAGUCUAGAUUGGGCACUAAAGAAUUUGGGACCAUAACCUUCUAGAAAUGCAACUGGCUGAAUUGUUUCUCUCAGAGAAGGGGGCAGAUCAUCCUUGGUUUGAUUGAGAACUUCUCUGAUUGAUCCUGCAUCUUGCACUAAAAUGGAAAUAUCUAACUCAAGAUGAGUGAUUAGCAUUUGCAAUUGUGCUUUGAUAUGAUCAAGCAUAGUUGAAGAAGUGUCUUCUAAAACUAGAAUAAUUUCCUAAUCAAUGUAAUCAUCUAGUGAAAAUGGCAAGUAUGGUGAAGAAGCCAGUUCCUAUACAAAAAAGAGAAGAGUUAGAAUUCCUUAAAGAUUGCCACUAUUGAGGAUGGAGUGUUUUUAAAAUACCUGAUCUUCUGGAAUUAUGUCAAGGUUGGGAAUAGCCGACAGGCUUGCUUCAUGGAGAUAGAGUGCUAAAAUUAUGAAGGUCAAUGAGUAUAUAUUUUCAAAGGGGCAAAGAAUUUGUUCUAUCAUCUAUUGUUGUUACCUAAAGAGAUUUCUGAAACAAUGUCAAGAUUAGGAUUAAUGUCAUCAUCACUACUUGAAAAAGAUAGACCCUCCAAGGGGUCAGAAUGUGUAGCUUCUUUUUCAACAUCAAAUCCCUGAGCAGCUGAUGAGGACAUCCCAGCUAUGCAUGCUCGUUCAAGUCCAAAUGCUACACAUCAAGGUCAACUUACAAGAAGCCAUACCAAUAAGGUACAACAAGAGGUCCACGCGCUACUUUGUGAGAUUCAUUUUAAUAUUAAUGAGAAUUAUAUACUACCUAAGUGUUGUACAUUGAUUAUACUCAGGUAUAUAGAAGAAGAGAAGGAUAAAUCUGACCCUGAAGACGGACUAGCAAAUCGGAUCACUAGAGUGAAGAACGGACCAGUGCAAGUCCCCGACAGACUAGCAAAACGGACCAGUAGAGUCAAGAACGGACCAGUGCAAAGAAAUCUUCAUAACCUUUUACUCACAAAAGCUAUGAAGACCCAUGAGGACUUGUUGGAAAGCAUGUCGAGUCUGCUUUCCAAUGCCUCAAGUCUCAUCACAUUUGGACAUCACAAUCAAGAGUUAUGUUUGGAUUAGUCAAGACUGCUCAGAAGGUCAACAGUAUGUCGUGACAGAAUGUUGGUACAAAUUGCCGUGCAAAACUGUAUCAACCUACAAUGUUUCGUGGUGCAUGGCAUAUAUUUCUGGAAAGCUCUUGGAGCCUAGUUUGACACCCAAGAAACGGUUCAUCAUUUGGACUUCUCAAUAAGAAGUUAUGGUCAGUUUAUUGGAAACUCCUCUGGAGGCCAACAGUCACGCGAAGCUAGUUCGUGAAUCCAUUCUGAGGGGAUCUUUUACAUUGCCUUCCCUCAGAAACUCUAUUUCGUUUUCAUACCUAUCUAGGAGGGUUGUUCUUAGUAUAAAUAUCUCUUACCUCUAAGCUAUUAGAAACCUUUGAUCAUUUUAAUAAACUACAUGAUAUUACAGCCGCGCUGCUGAGUGCCUUACUCAACCUUUGUUCUUCCUUGUUCUUCAUGGACUUGUGAAGUGAAUCUUCUCGGUUCCCCUACUUCGUGCUCUACGGCUUCCGUUCGGCUGCGUCGUAUUGUGUGGAUUAGUUCCGGAUUGUGGUUCUGCGGUCGUUCGGAGAUUGAGUCGAAGUCUUCGCGGUUUCGGUGCCUCUCUCCCCGUCGCUUGGUCGCAUCCAACCUUUGUUAGGUAUAAAUCUAGUUGUCCGCUGUUCGCAGCAAGUUAUCCUUGUUCUUUUGAUCUACUGUCAUGAAGAUCGGGCCACUCUCGUACCGAUUCAUAUCGGUAACCUAUCAACUGGUAUCAAAGCUUUCGUUGUCACGGUAGGUGUCACAAUCAUCCACAUAUUUAUCUUUAGUAUAUCUAUCAUUUGUUACUGUUUUGUUCAUCACCUAUAGUCCACUGAAAAAAGCCACAAAAAAAUCCUAGAGCCCUUUGACGGUAUUGUUAUCUUGUGUUUUUGUGUUCAUCUAGUUGCUAGUCACCCUAUUUAUAUAUAUUGUGUUGUGUUUCAUUUGUUAUGCGCACCCCUGUUAGUAUAAAAAAAGGAGCUAAAAAAUCAGAGAAAGAAAAAAAAGAAGAACAGAAAGAUCCAAAAGAAAAGUAAAAGAAGAGGAGAGGGGUUGUAUUGCGGUUUGCUCACUGGAAAAUUCAGUUUACAUAUUCAGAUUCUUAUUCAUUUAUAUAACAGCAACAUUAUAUCUUUUGAGCACAUCAAACUACUUGAUUUUUAGUACCGUAGCCUGCUUUGUUUAGUGUUGGGUAUUUUAAACACAAACAGAAAAAUCCGCAAGCGCACAGAUACCGAUGUAGCUUUCACCCGGGAGUAUUCCGCAGUAUCGAUUUUCCACAGGGAACGUGAGUGUACUAAUUAAGAUUCAAGAUCGCCCAAGGAUAACUAUAUAAUUAUUGUUGGUAGGAAGAGAGGAAGUUUCCUGAGAGUUCUCUAGUUGAUCUAAGAAUCAAGAAUUACUUCAAAGAUUAUUUAUUUCGGGACAUCAGAACACUAACCACAGAAAGAGAUGAGAAGGGGGCUAGGAAGCUCUCACUACGGUCCUACAAACACCGAUCCG
rnacentral:lncRNA from 1 species